rnacentral:rRNA from 1 species
UACGGAGGGUGCAAGCGUUGUCCGGAUUUAUUGGGUUUAAAGGGUGCGUAGGUGGGUCUGUAAGUCAGUGGUGAAAUCUCCGUGCUUAACAUGGAAACUGCCAUUGAUACUAUAGGUCUUGAAUUUUCUGGAGGUAAGCGGAAUAUGUCAUGUAGCGGUGAAAUGCUUAGAUAUGACAUAGAACACCAAUUGCGAAGGCAGCUUGCUACAGGGAUAUUGACACUGAGGCACGAAAGCGUGGGGAUCAAACAGG